UUCUAACAAUAGCUAAAAGUGCUCUGUUUGCAGGUGAUGAAAGCAUUGUGACAGCUUUUGGGAAUGUUCCAUGCACGAACUGAUUAAAAGUUAGACCAACAUGUGUAAGGACUAACAAAGGAACAGCAGAUGAUGCACAAUCGAAUUCAUCCAAUCAAGGUCAAACCACAGCGACUCUCCGUUCAACGAUCACCGGAAGCUCUCUCCCUCUAGUGGACAAACAAAGCUGCUGCACAUAGUUGGCCAAACAAUCACCUCUCAUGAUUCUGGGGUCAGAAAGUAAUCUAUGAAUGUGGCCUCUGUUUGCACCAUGACAGGAGCCUCAGUUUGUGUGGAAGAACUAUACACAGCCACAACAGCCUGGCACCUCCUCCUCCUGCUGGUCACCAGCCUGGUCACACACUGCUGUGGGAUGCCAUCCCAUUCUUCAACCAGCAUUUCAGCCAGCGUGGUUCUGUUGGUCACUCUGGACUGAGCAGCACGCCCAAGCUGAUCCCACAAGUGUUCAAUGGGGUUGAGUUCAGGACUGCUGGCAGGUCAUUCCAUCCUCUCCACUCCCAAAUUCUGGAGGUAGUCUCUGAUAAACCUCGCUCUGUGGGGGCGAGCGUUGUCAUCUUGGAGGAUAGAGUUCGGUCCCAGACUGUGGAGAUAUGGGAUUGCCACUGGUUGCAGAAUCUCUUCUCGAUAUCUCUCUGCAUUGAGAUUGCCUCCAAUGAUGACAAGCCUUGUGUGACCAGGCAGAGGCAGAGAAGAUUUGGCAAAUUUUUCAUGGCCGCAACCCACAUACUAAGCUCAGUCAACGUCAGCCCGAUGUUAUGGUGAACAGAAUCAGCUUGGCAACGAAGCCUUGGAAGACUGGGUUUCUGACGAAUGUGUUAUAUAGUGAAAUAAAACAAACCUUGUUGAAUCUUUUAUUGUUUUCAUACUAAGACUAAAAGCAUGCUAUGUUUUACGGGGUCGAAGUGAAGCUUAGCUAAACAUAGCCUUUCAAGGUUGUGUGAUACCCAAACAUUUUUUAGAUAUUUUAUCUGCAAGCACACAAUGCACCGUACAGGGCAUAGAUAGAGGGGUCUACUCAGAGUCAGCAGGCUUUUAAAUCAGCUUUGACUGGAUGGACAUAAUAACACAAAA